CCAGGGAUGGGGAUGGAGCAGCCACUGGAAGCCACAUGGGUAGAAUUAUGGCAGCCGUUUUGUAAGUUGUGCUAAGUCCAGCGUUUCCAUCUGAGCAGCAAGCCUGCCAAUCUGGGGGUGGGCUGGCCGGGGAGGGUGGAGAGGGGGUUCAGGGAGCAAUGCCUUGGGUUCCCCCAUCGCUGGUGGGUCCCCUGAAACGAACACCUAGGAAAAGCGGCGCUAAAAACAGCCGUGGGGGAGGGUGCGGGGGCGGCGGAGUCUGUAACCUAAGCCGCCCCAGCCUCCGGGGGGCAGACCCCGCAGCCGCCCGGCCGGCGUCCGGCCUUCCCAACACCCGGCCCGGGGCUGGAGCUGCAGGGCUGGCCAGAGGCGCCCGCGGCCGCUCCCUCUCCUCCCACCCCACCCCGAGGAGCAGCGCGCGGCAGGGCGGCUCGGUGCCCGGCGGGCGGGCGGCCCGUCUGCGCGGCCCGGGCGGGCCUGCGGUCGGGAUGAGGACGGCGCCUCUGCAGCUGAGCGCUGGAGCGGCGGGGCCGGGAGCUCGUUGGCGGCCGCCGGCGUGGCGCGCGGAGCGGGCCUCGGAGAGGAGCCAAGAAAUUCUCAUUCCUCAGGAAGUUGUGCGGCGUCCCAGCUGAGGGGCCCCUGACUCCCCAGGCUCCACUCAGGACCAUGAGCACAGGCUUCCCUGGGACCCUCCGAGGGCUGAGAAUGGCCAUCCAGCCCACUCCCCGGGGCGCCCCUCGGACAGCUGCAUCCUUCU
rnacentral:lncRNA from 13 species